GGGGAUUUAGCUCAGUGGCAUAAGCCCCUGCCUUGCAAGCAGGCGGUAAUGAGUUCAAUCCCUG
rfam:Cavia porcellus supercont2_1602 genomic scaffold, whole genome shotgun sequence.